rnacentral:lncRNA from 1 species
CCCAGAAGCAAAGAUAAAUGGAAAGCAUUUACAAGCUAUAUGAUCUGGAAAAUGGGAAGAGAGUCAAUUUUUGAAAAGAGGGGAAGAAACAAUCGUCUGAAUAAUUAGAAAACAGAAAUGAUACAUUAACAGUCUUAGCACACCACAGAGAAUAGGGACACAGAUGGAUUCAUUAGAGGGCUGUUUUUUCUUUUAACACAGCCUCAGUGGCUUUAACACAGACAGAUGUAAAGGGGAAAGGUCAGACUGUUACGAAAGGCAGCAGAGCUACUGAAGAGGAAGAACACAAACAAAAACAAAAUUACAUUGUUUUCCAUUGCAAAUUCAUAGUCACAGGAUUCCAGAUGCAGGCUCCAACUGAUUGUGGCAGAAUGGACUUGCUGGGAAGGAAAAAGACUAAGAAGAGUGAAAAAGGAAGCAGGAGGAUCUGUUGUCCUCAGCUGGAUUGGUGGAACCUAGACUCCUGUCGUUAGCUCUCUCACCAUUCAAAAACAAAAACAAAUAAAAAGAGGGAAAAAAAAGUCUGUCCUUCAAAAUGUGGAUGACUCCAUUGGAUCUCCCUCUGCCUAAUCCACCUGCCAUACUGAAUUUUUAAGUGGUCAUCAUUCUCACUCCACUCCUAAUAUUCUAGCCACACUUCCAGCCUGGCUUUGUUCUGGCCAGCCAUCAUGGUAUUGUGCAAUAGUAACAGUUAAAGGAUGAGCAAAAUCCUGCAACAGCUGUUAUUAUAAUUAGAAACAAUAAAGCUAUCUUCAUCAUAUGACUGGCAGCCUAUAGUUAAAGGCAAGCCAAAGAAACAAACUAAGAGCUCCAUGGGAAAAAAAGAAUGCUAUGCAUGAUUGGCACAUUUAAGCCACAGCGAUUCUGACAGAUCUUUACCUGGCUUCUGGUGAGACAAGUAAAAGCAGUGAGAUGUCAGAGCACUUCAUGAUGGUGGGGAUUCUAACCUUCAGGGCCAGCAGCAAUACACUGAGAGGGGGUGAACUGGGUCUUGAAGGGAACCAAAACCACACCACAUAAGAAAUGUUUAGCUUACAGAAAAUAAAUGGAGGACACUGACCUCUCCCUUUGAUUCUCAAGAGCCUGCAUUUCUUGCAUGCUCUCAACCUACCUCCAGUCCUGGAUAUGUAUGUAUACAAAACACUCUAAAAAUAAAAAGUCACCUGGAGAACAGUAUGCCUCUGAAUUCUAUGUGACAUAGAUAGGCUCACCCUUUUCAACCUGCUGUCUCUCUCUGGUCUCACCAGGCU